AGCGGCGAACGGGUGAGUAACACGUGGGCAACCUGCCCUCAGCUCUGGGAUAACCCCAAGAAAUUGGGGCUAAUACUGGAUAUGACUGCUGACCGCAUGGUCUGGUGGUGGAAAGAUUUAUCGGCUGAGGAUGGGCCCGCGGCCUAUCAGCUUGUUGGUGGGGUCACGGCCCACCAAGGCGACGACGGGUAGCCGGCCUGAGAGGGUGACCGGCCACACUGGGACUGAGACACGGCCCAGACUCCUACGGGAGGCAGCAGUGGGGAAUAUUGCGCAAUGGGCGAAAGCCUGACGCAGCGACGCCGCGUGGGGGAUGACGGCCUUCGGGUUGUAAACCUCUUUCAGCAGGGACGAAGCGGAAGUGACGGUACCUGCAGAAGAAGCACCGGCCAACUACGUGCCAGCAGCCGCGGUAAUACGUAGGGUGCAAGCGUUGUCCGGAAUUAUUGGGCGUAAAGAGCUCGUAGGCGGUCUGUCGCGUCGGCUGUGAAAACCCGAGGCUCAACCUCGGGCCUGCAGUCGAUACGGGCAAACUAGAGUGUUGCAGGGGAGACUGGAAUUCCUGGUGUAGCGGUGAAAUGCGCAGAUAUCAGGAGGAACACCGGUGGCGAAGGCGGGUCUCUGGGCAACAACUGACGCUG
rnacentral:rRNA from 1 species